AUGUGGGGCGCGCGCCCAUUGGCUGAACUUUCCUGCUUGGGCCGGCCGGCCGCAGAGCCCGCCUCCUGGCCCUCUUUCGGCGCUCCCAUUGGCCGUUCGCGUCCCACCCGCGCCCGCUCCCGCCCCCAGCCCGCCCAGAUGGAAACGGGGUUGAGGGGGUGGGAGGCCGAGGCGGGGAGGGGGGGGUCGAGGUAUCCUCCCGGUAAGGGGGCGCGAGAGACAAGACAGGCCAAUCCGGACAAGACGUGGAAAAGAGGCUCCGUGCCAGCCAGUCACAUCGCGAGGUCCGGGUCGGGGAGGCUGACGCGAGUGCGGGCCGCAGCCAAUGGGCGUGCCACUACCCGUCCGCUCUUCAGCAGCCGGUCGGGGGUGGUGGAGGAGCGAGUGAGGAGAGCGCGACGGCGGCGGAGACAUCGCUGGACGGCCAGGGGGAAAGCGAGGCCCGAGCCUCUGAGUCUAGGAUGACAGAAUACCUAAGUGCUGAGGUGCCGAGGUGACUCGGGGCAAAGAAGUAAUCUGAGUGGUAUGGAGUUAAUCAGGGAAGGUUUCCAGGAAGGGGUGAGUUUUGAGACACCUUUUGAAGAGUUUGGAUAUGGGUUACUGGAAGACUUGAGGAUGACAUUCAAGAAGUUUGGACAAGCUGUAAGCAACUGUGAAUGAGAAUGACACAUAAAAAAUGGAUUUUAAGGAGGAUGGAACAUUUGAAUGAAGAUUUAAGUGUGGAGAUCAGUUAAGUCUGUUGUAGCUUAGUUUUAUAAAUAAUGGUUCUGUAUGGUGGUUAGGAGAGAAGAAUUGGAAUAGUUGACGAUGGGGGCGCCUGGGUGGCUGAGUCCGUUAAGCUCCUGACUCGAUUUCGGCUCAGGUCAUGAUCCCAGGGCAGUGGGAUCUAGCCCCUCAUCAGGCUCCAUGCUGAGUGUGGAGCCUGCUUGGGAUUCUCUCUCGCUCUCUCUCUCUCACUCCUUCCCUCCCUCCCUCCCUCUGUCCCCCUCCCCUGCUCGCUCACUCUCUCCAAAAAAACUUAAAAAAAAAAAAGAAAACCAAUAGUUGAUGAUGGAUUGGAGACGGGUAGUAAGGGAAAGAGCAUGAAAAUAUUUUUUGAUUUUUGUGGUAAGAGAAUAUGUUGAAAAUAAGUUGGGUUAUUGAGAGGUAGAUUUGGUGUUCAACCAAAAAAUAAUCAGGAACAUUUUUGAGUCCUAUACUGGAUUAUGUUGAUAAUAAUAGCAAAAUUUAGUGGGUGCUACUUUGUGCCAGACGCUGUUUUGAGCUUUCCGAGUAUCAUCUUCCUUUGAUUAUCCCUGUUUUUUAGAUGAGGGAACUGAGAUUCAGAGAGAUUUAAUUUGCCUGAUGCCACACAGCUAAUAAGUGGCAGGUCAGUAUUGACAAAGUCAAUCAGUAAAUUUUAACUGAGCAUAUGUUUCAUGCCAGGCACUGUGUUAACUGUUGGAGGUUCACAAUUGACAGGCAAAUCUGAAGGUCAGGCCUAGGCCAUUUUAUUUUAUUAAAAACAAUUUUUUUUUUUAAACAUUUAUUCAGUUUUGAAAGAGAGAGACAGAGUGUGAAUGGGGAAGGGGCAGAGAGAGGGAGACACAGAAUUUGAAGCAGGCUCUAGGCUCCAAGCUGUCAGCACAGAGCCUGAUGUGGGGCUCGAACUCACUGACGGCAAGAUCAUGACCUGUGCUGAAGUCAGCUGCUUAACCGACUGAGCCACCCAGGCACCCCUGGCCUGAGCCAUUUUAAAAUAAAUUGUCAGGAAUUAAUAGAAGAGAGACA
ensembl:lncRNA